AGGAGCCGAAUGAAACCAAAAUUUCAUGUUCGGUUUGAAUUAGAGGUGUUAAAAAGAAGAAAUCAACGUCGACUAUAAC
rnacentral:ncRNA from 1 species